UCAUUCACAUAAAAAUAGUCAUUUUUACUUUUGCGGAUAAUUACAUUUUUGGGACAUUUCUGACACGGACAAAAUUCCCCAAGCACUACCCAAUUGUUUGUGCAGUUCACGUCUGCAGACAUUUGCUCAUCUCCCGUCAGAACAGGAUCUGCACACGUGUUCACAUUUUCUAUUCCACAUUUCUAUUGUAGCGUACUGUAUGUAUGGAGCAUAAUAUAUUUGUGUAUAUUCUUUAUCACCGCGGACACGUGAGCUACCAUGGCCUUAUGACUCUCAAGUGGUGCAGCGGUCAAAGGCACAGCACAUCAGUACUAGAGGCGUCACUACAGACUCCCUGGUUCAAAUCCAGGCUGCGUUUCCAUCAAAAAACCAGAAACAUUAUUUGUCAAUAUCAUAACUGGAGCUGGACAUCUUUGGAGCUGAAGAAUGAGGACAGCUUUUGUAUGCUAACGUACACUCCUUAACAGUUGUACUGGAUGAAAACACAGCAAGAAAACACAUAUGCCAAUAUGUAAUAUUAAUCUAUUUUAUUGCAGUACUGGUAGUUGGUUCAACAACUUGUUUUACUAGAGGACAAAAAACUGAAUAUGCAUAACCCAUAUUUAAUAUCCAUGCAGUGACUGAACAACAACUGCAUUUCCACCCCCAUCUCUAAGGCAUAGUAUCAUGGCUGCAACAACACUGAAUGGCGCAGAGUGGGAGGUUACGUGGUUGACUGCCGGCACGCGCUACUUGUAUCAAUAAAUCACUAUCAGAAAA